UUGGCGAAUAUGGCAGAUGUGGCUUGGUCAAAAUAAGGAAGUAAAGACGGUGACUUCAUGGUUUCUACCUUGAUGCCUUGGCGCAUGAUCCCGUGGGACUCAUUUAAAGGAACAGGUUGAGGAGAGUUGCCACUGCAAUAAGGUAAUUUUCCCCUAACGUAUUCAAGCAUACAUGUGUAGAUUUAAAGAUGUGUCCUAUACAGGUGUCUGUUGAGAUAAAGACAUGGUUCUAUGUAAAUUUUAAUUUCCUCCAAUGAUAUAUUAAUAGAUUAAAUGGUUUGCCCGCCUACUUGGAACAUCUUAGUGUCUAUUUGAGAUGCCAUAUUUUGGAUUUGUAGUUAUUCAAGGCACUAUAUUUUUCCCCAGAUACUAUUGUUUUGUUGAACAUUCCUGCAUCUUUGUAGGAAUGCUAACCCUUAAUUAACAGCAAUGCAUGCUGAUUAGUAAAUACAGUGUGCUUUUGGUCCAUCUUUUUACAAUAGUGUCCCUAUUUUGCAUUCAGAUUUUUAUUGUUUAGCCUAAAAGAUAAGGAGAAACAUUUCUAAAGAGAUCCAUUGCGAAUCUUGAAAUGCACGAGCAGCAGAAAUACUUGCAUUUGUUGAAGCAAGAGCCAUAGGUUACAUUAUUUCACUUACAUGCCAGCAUGUCCACACCAAGACCACGGUAAGUUAAUUUCAAAAAUAUAUUGUUGUGGUAAUUUACUUGCAUUCUGAUUGAGGAUUUUAAGAAAUGCAAGGAUUGUAGUUUUGAUGUUGUCUGACUAUUGUUGCAUAGUGCAGAUUUGCAGCCCUGUUCAGAAGGUAAUUUGCCAAGGUCUGAUGCUCAUGUUCAUUGCCACUGUACUUGCGGUGCGGUGCAGGCUGCUUGUGCUGCUACUGACCUGCUGACUUGCCUGCUCCCUAUUGGCUUUCAUGUUUAGAACGCCUUACCACUGCCGCUAGCUGUCGUCUGCUGCCCACAUUGGGUGCCAUCAAUCAUAUGAGGAUUUUAUUGAUUUCAUGCCACUAUUAUGAAAGUGCUGGAGAUCAAUGAGGCCCAUGAAGAAUGCCAUACUCGAUCUCUCGAGCCUUUCCAUCUCCCAACCCUCCAAUGCUGAAG